rnacentral:pre_miRNA from 1 species
GUGUGAAGAGAGAAGAAUGCCCAACCAGCCCUCAGUUGCUACAGUUGCCUGUUGUUUCAGCUCGACAACAACAGGCGGCUGUAGCAAUGGGGGGCUGGAUGGGCAUCUCAAU